rnacentral:tRNA from 1 species
AAAGAAGCGGCUGUUGAAGUGCUAAGUUGUAACCUUAGUUAUGGUGUGAUCCCUUCUUUA